UUGUUGUCAUCGAUUGUCAUCAAAGUUGAAAUCAGCUUAGCUGCGGAUAGAUUUCUGCCAUAAGCUGUUGAAGGGAUCAUUUGAGUGAAAUCAAUGUUGAUUUAUCAGAAGAUGCAGUUGAAGAUAUCUUAAUUAAGGAUGUAAUACAAUUAUAAAGACUGAUGG